rnacentral:rRNA from 1 species
ACUCGAGUGGCGAACGGGUGAGUAACACGUGGGUGAUCUACCCCGCACUUCGGGAUAAGCCUGGGAAACUGGGUCUAAUACCGGAUAGUCACUCCCCUUUGAUGUGGGGUGUGGAAAGAUUUAUCGGUGUGGGAUGAGCUUGCGGCCUAUCAGCUUGUUGGUGGGGUAAUGGCCUACCAAGGCGUCGACGGGUAGCCGGCCUGAGAGGGUGUACGGCCACAUUGGGACUGAGAUACGGCCCAG